rnacentral:rRNA from 1 species
CCUACGGGUGGCUGCAGUGGGGAAUAUUGCACAAUGGGCGCAAGCCUGAUGCAGCCAUGCCGCGUGUGUGAAGAAGGCCUUCGGGUUGUAAAGCACUUUCAGCGGGGAGGAAGGCGGUGAGGUUAAUAACCUCAUCGAUUGACGUUACCCGCGGAAGAAGCACCGGCUAACUCCGUGCCAGCAGCCGCGGUAAUACGGAGGGUGCAAGCGUUAAUCGGAAUUACUGGGCGUAAAGCGCACGCAGGCGGUCUGUCAAGUCGGAUGUGAAAUCCCCGGGCUCAACCUGGGAACUGCAUUCGAAACUGGCAGGCUAGAGUCUUGUAGAGGGGGGUAGAAGUCCAGGUGUAGCGGUGAAAUGCGUAGAGAUCUGGAGGAAUACCGGUGGCGAAGGCGGCCCCCUGGACAAAGACUGACGCUCAGGUGCGAAAGCGUGGGGAGCAAACAGGAUUAGAUACCCGUGUAGUC